ACAUGAAUAUUAAACUUAAAAGUUUUGCAUGAGAGGCAUUAGACUUUUCACACCACAGCCAACCAACCAGAUAGAUAGGGUGCCAAUACUUGUAGAGUUGAUUAGAUAGAUAGAUAGAUAGAUAGAUAGAUAGAUAGAUAGAUAGAUAGAUAGAUAGGGGGUCAAUACUUGUAGAGUUGAUUAGACAGAUAGAUAGAUAGAUAGAUAGAUAGAUAGAUAGAUAGAUAGAUAGAUAAGGUGCCAAUACUUGUAGAGUUGAUUAGAUAGAUAGAUAGAUAGAUAGAUAGAUAGGGGGCCAAUAUUGGUAGAGUUGAUUAGACAGAUAGAUAGAUAGGGUGCCAAUACUUGUAGUGUUGAAUAGAUAGAUAGGGUGCCAAUACUUGUAGAGUUGAUUAGACAGAUAGAUAAGGUGCCAAUAUUGGUAGAGUUGAUUAGACAGAUAGAUAGAUAGAUAGAUAGAUAGGGUGCCAAUACUUGUAGAGUUGAUUAGAUAGAUAGAUAGAUAGGGUGCCAAUACUUGUAGAGUUGAUUAGAUAGAUAGAUAGAUAGGGUGCCAAUACUUGUAGAGUUGAUUAGAUAGAUAGAUAGAUAGAUAGAUAGAUAGAUAGAUAGAUAGAUAGAGGGCCAAUACUUGUAGAGUUGAUUAGAUAGAUAGGGUGCCAAUACUUGUAGAGUUGAUUAGACAGAUAGAUAGAAAAACAUACAAUAAAUGUUUUUUUUAAAUGGCUUUAGGAAGAAAUUCUUCUCAGUUGCUUUGCAUCAUAAUUGUUUCAAAGUUUUUAUGUCAGUGGUUUUGUGUCUUAAACAUUCUGCCACUAACAAAUAAAACACACACACACACACACACACACACACACACACACACACACACACACAC
ensembl:lncRNA